rnacentral:rRNA from 1 species
UACGGGUGGUGCAAGUGUUAUUCCUCAUGACUAGGCGUAAAGGGUGCGUAGGUGGUAAAAAUGUUUUAAAUUAACAGGAACUUUUUUUUUUUUUUUUUUUUUUACUUUUUUCUAGAAUUUAGAAGAUGAUAGUGGAACUUCAUGCAUUAGAGUUAAAAUUCGUUUUUUUAAAACUUGAAGGAACACCAAGAGCUAAGGCAACUAUCAAUUUUUAAAUUGACACUGAGGCACGAAAAGGAUGGGGAUCAAAUGGGAU